AGCGAACGCUGGCGGCAGGCCUAAUACAUGCAAGUCGAACGGUGUAGCAAUACACAGUGGCGCACGGGUGCGUAACACGUAUGCAACCUACCUUACAUUGGGGGAUAGCCUUUCGAAAGGGAGAUUAAUACCGCAUAAGACAGUAACUAGGCAUCUAGUAGCUGUUAAAGAUUUAUCGAUGUAAGCUGGGCAUGCGUCCAAUUAGUUAGUUGGCGAGGUAAUGGCUCACCAAGACGAUGAUUGGUAGGGGAACUGAGAGGUCAAUCCCCCACACUGGCACUGAGAUACGGGCCAGACUCCUACGGGAGGCAGCAGUAGGGAAUAUUGGGCAAUGGGCGCAAGCCUGACCCAGCCAUGCCGCGUGCAGGAAGAAGGCGUUAUGCGUUGUAAACUGCCUUUAUACAGGAAGAAACGACCCUUGCGAGGGGCAUUGACGGUACUGUAUGAAUAAGCACCGGCUAACUCCGUGCCAGCCGCCGCGGUAAAAC
rnacentral:rRNA from 1 species